CAGGAAAUAGUUUAUUAAAAAUGAUAGCUUUGGGAGUUGUUGAGGCAGGUGUGAUUCUUGCUUUUCUGA
rnacentral:tRNA from 1 species